GGGCCUGUAUUUGGUUUCGACAGGCAAUUGGAGGUUUCUUAAGCAAGUUGUGGUCGCGCACAUAAAAACGUAAGCUAGGUUUUUAAAUUAAACGCAAAACCAAAUCAAACUUUAGCAUUCGCUGCUUAAUUGAAUGCGUACGAUAAGAUGCCGACCCUCAGGGCGUCUUAAAGUACUUCAGAUACUGCGGGUUGGGAAAAAGGAAUGCCUUGGCCUUUCUCCUGAAAUUAAGAGGAUAGGCAAUAGUAUCUUGCUUAUUACAUGCUAUUGUACGAACUAAAGAAAAUAAGAUAAACUUGUAGAAGUAGAAAUUAAAAAUUGUUUGGACACGAGUUCGACUCUCGUCAGGUCCACCA
rfam:Coprobacillus sp. CAG:698 genomic scaffold, scf21